GGCAGCUCCAGGUCGGCCUCAGGGCCUGACAUCUCCCAGGAAGAAUCCAGAACACCCCCGCAGCACCGUCCUCGCCUGCACACUGCCCUGCGCCCUCCCGGCCUGCACUUCUUAGCAAGCCAAAAGAGGCAGAAACUUUUCUUCUGAGUCUCUCAGAAGAAAUUCCAGGACGACUAGAAGCCACCGGCACAAAGAGUAAACGUCCAACUCUCAAAACCGUGGCACGGAAGCCCGGGACCCCGUAGAAACUGCAAAAUUUGGAGGCCAUGGAAUUUGUGAUAAUAUUGCCAAAAUCCUUCGAAUGGGAAGUGACCGGUGAGAAACUGAACUGUGGAGAAAUAUGAAAACUCUGGAUUCUGGAUAUUUGUUGGGCAGAGCGUUUAGUGCCAUCUUCCCUUUACCAUCAAACCUCACUUCACCAUGUUUCUUCCCUUUGCCUACAGCCAGUUAAUAUCUGAGUAACUUAUCUCCCUCAAUAAAAGAAUUUAUUAAAAAAAAAAAA